GGAGUAUAGCCUACCAGGCAAUGAUCUAUAGCUGAUCUGAGAGGAUGAUCAGCCACACUGGAACUGAGAUACGGUCCAGACUCCUACGGGAGGCAUCACUGCGGAAUAUUGGACAAUGGGCGAAAGCCUGAUCCAGCCAUGCCGCAUGAGUGAAGAAGGCCUUUGGGUUGUAAAGCUCUUUUAGUGAGGAAGAUAAUGACGGUACUCACAGAAGAAGUCCUGGCUAACUCCGUGCCAGCAGCCGCGGUAAUACAGAGAGGGCUAGCGUUAUUCGGAAUUAUUGGGCGUAAAGGGCGCGUACGCUGAUUAAUAAGUUAAAAGUGAAAUCCCGAGGCUUAACCUUGGAAUUGCUUUUAAAACUAUUAAUCUAGAGAUUGAAAGAGGAUAGAGGAAUUCCUGAUGUAGAGGUAAAAUUCGUAAAUAUUAGGAGGAACACCAGUGGCGAAGGCGUCUAUCUGGUUCAAAUCUGACGCUGAAGCGCGAAGGCGUGGGGAGCAAACAGGAUUAGAUACCCUGGUAGUCCACGCUGUAAACGAUGAAUGUUAAAUAUGGGAAGUUUACUUUCUGUAUUACAGCUAGCAAU
rnacentral:rRNA from 1 species